GACGUAGGGCGCGAGCGUUGUCCGGAUUUAUUGGGCGUAAAGAGCUCGUAGGCGGCUUGUCGCGUCGUCCGUGAAAACCCACAGCUCAACUGUGGGCUUGCGGUCGAUACGGGCAGGCUAGAGUUCGGUAGGGGAGACUGGAAUUCCUGGUGUAGCGGUGAAAUGCGCAGAUAUCAGGAAGAACACCUAUGGCGAAGGCAGCUCUCUGGGACGGUACUGACGCUGAGACGCGAAAGCGUGGGGAGCGAACAGG
rnacentral:rRNA from 1 species